rnacentral:rRNA from 1 species
AUUGAACGCUGGCGGCAGGCUUAACACAUGCAAGUCGAGCGGGGAAAGGUAGCUUGCUACCUGACCUAGCGGCGGACGGGUGAGUAAUGCUUAGGAAUCUGCCUAUUAGUGGGGGACAACAUUCCGAAAGGAAUGCUAAUACCGCAUACGCCCUACGGGGGAAAGCAGGGGAUCUUCGGACCUUGCGCUAAUAGAUGAGCCUAAGUCAGAUUAGCUAGUUGGUGGGGUAAAGGCCUACCAAGGCGACGAUCUGUAGCGGGUCUGAGAGGAUGAUCCGCCACACUGGGACUGAGACACGGCCCAGACUCCUACGGGAGGCAGCAGUGGGGAAUAUUGGACAAUGGGCGAAAGCCUGAUCCAGCCAUGCCGCGUGUGUGAAGAAGGCCUUUUGGUUGUAAAGCACUUUAAGCGAGGAGGAGGCUACUUGGAUUAAUACUCUAGGAUAGUGGACGUUACUCGCAGAAUAAGCACCGGCUAACUCUGUGCCAGCAGCCGCAGUAAAAC